GCAAAGCCGCGAGGCAGAGCGAACCCCCAAAAGCCGUCCCAGUUCGGAUCGCAGGCUGCAACCCGCCUGCGUGAAGUCGGAAUCGCUAGUAAUCGCGGAUCAGCAUGCCGCGGUGAAUACGUUCCCGGGCCUUGUACACACCGCCCGUCACACCAUGAGAGUCGGGAACACCCGAAGUCCGUAGCCUAACCGAAAGGAGGGCGCGGCCGAAGGUGGGUUCGAUAAUUGGGGUGAAGUCGUAACAAGGUAAC
rnacentral:rRNA from 1 species